rnacentral:rRNA from 1 species
GACGAACGCUGGCGGCGUGCCUAAUACAUGCAAGUAGAACGCUGAAGGAGGAGCUUGCUUCUCCGGAUGGGUUGCGAACGGGUGAGUAACGCGUAGGUAACCUGCCUGGUAGCGGGGGAUAACUAUUGGAAACGAUAGCUAAUACCGCAUAACAGUAGAUAUUGCAUGAUAUCUGCUUGAAAGGUGCAAUUGCAUCACUACCAGAUGGACCUGCGUUGUAUUAGCUAGUUGGUGAGGUAACGGCUCACCAAGGCGACGAUACAUAGCCGACCUGAGAGGGUGAUCGGCCACACUGGGACUGAGACACGGCCCAGACGCCUACGGGAGGCAGCAGUAGGGAAUCUUCGGCAAUGGACGGAAGUCUGACCGAGCAACGCCGCGUGAGUGAAGAAGGUUUUCGGAUCGUAAAGCUCUGUUGUAAGAGAAGAACGAGUGUGAGAGUGGAAAGUUCACACUGUGACGGUAUCUUACCAGAAAGGGACGGCUAACUACGUG